GACGAACGCUGGCGGCGCGCCUAACACAUGCAAGUCGAACGAGCGAGAGAGAGCUUGCUUUCUCGAGCGAGUGGCGAACGGGUGAGUAACGCGUGAGGAACCUGCCUCAAAGAGGGGGACAACAGUUGGAAACGACUGCUAAUACCGCAUAAGCCCACGGGUCGGCAUCGACCAGAGGGAAAAGGAGCAAUCCGCUUUGAGAUGGCCUCGCGUCCGAUUAGCUAGUUGGUGAGGUAAUGGCCCACCAAGGCGACGAUCGGUAGCCGGACUGAGAGGUUGAACGGCCACAUUGGGACUGAGACACGGCCCAGACUCCUACGGGAGGCAGCAGUGGGGAAUAUUGCACAAUGGGGGAAACCCUGAUGCAGCGACGCCGCGUGGAGGAAGAAGGUCUUCGGAUUGUAAACUCCUGUUGUUGAGGAAGAUAAUGACGGU
rnacentral:rRNA from 1 species